rnacentral:lncRNA from 1 species
GCCCACUUUCCCCAAAUCUCUGGGGGUUCUUUUUAAAAUUUUGAUAUUGAUUUUUUUUCUUGGUUUAAAAAUAACCUGAAAUACACGCAUGCACACAUACACACAUACACACAAAAAAAAGAAAAAAGAAGCAGGAGCCCAUGGCUCAGCCCUGGGGUACAGGAAGAGCAACAGGAAGGUUGGUUCGUGGUGCUGGAGAAAGUCUCUGCAAGGCUUAAAGGAGCAUCCCAUUUCCACAGGAAAAACCAUCUUUCACCGCAGAAAAGCCUGUCCUUCAUUUAUGGAAGCCAGAAGCUGUCAGGAGAGAAAAGCUGAAGAUUGACAGAGGAAAGACACAGCAAAAGUGCUCCCAGAACAUUGUACAAAAAAGAUAAUCUUAAGAUGUUGACCUCUUACAGAAGUGUGUAUAAUCAAAGUGAAAAACAGCAAUAUAAUGUCCUGGUUGUUCCCUAAAUGGAAGAACUGUAUACACUGAAAGGUAUCCUGUCUGAGAGCCUGCAGUUAUAUUUUUCUUGUGAUUUUUCCUUCAGAACAAGAAAUCUGGCACAUUUAGAGGUUGGUCCCCUUAUUUCUGAAUCUCCUGCUCUUCUUUUCCCCCAUCUCCCUGGCCAUAUUCUGGUCUGGUUUUAUCAAAUUUUGGGUUGAUAAUUUGCAAGGGGAUGGUGCAGUUGUAUCAAAAUUCUGACCACGAGAAACCACACGUGGUAUCACUUUAAAUCAAAUAACUUAAAAUAAUAAUAAUAAUUUGUUCCAUCUCCUCUCCUUGAAUUCUCUCAGUCUUUGAAUUUUUCCUCCUUUAAUAUUCUGUCUAUAAUCCUGUUUUCUUCCAGACCCUGCUGUUCAGCUGUUACUGAAACAUCGUCUUCAAAAACACCGAGCGGGGAAAUGUUGAUUUGUUUUGAUCUCAGGGGAAAUAAUGUAACUCGGCAACAAGCCCACCAGCAGCAACUUUUAAUACACAGCAAGACAACUCCCAGAGAAAUCACCUUCCUCUUGGGCUGCAUACACAUAUUUAAUUGCAUUUAAUUCUUGAGUGCUGGUGUAACUCAGUUCAGCUCCAUAAAUAAUUGGGAGUUUUGGUUCACUGGCUGAACCAGAGGAUACUGGAGGAAAAAAAAAAAUAAAAAAUCCCAUAAACCAUUCGGUUUCA